rnacentral:rRNA from 1 species
UACGUAGGGGGCAAGCGUUGUCCGGAUUUACUGGGCGUAAAGAGCGCGUAGGCGGAACGUUAAGUCCGGUUUGAAAGCCCUUGGCUUAACCGAGGAAGUGCAUCCGAAACUGGCGAGCUAGAGUACGAAAGAGGAUCGCGGAAUUCCCGGUGUAGAGGUGAAAUUCGUAGAUAUCGGGAGGAACACCGGUGGCGAAGGCGGCUCUCUGGACCGUAACUGACGCUGAGGCGCGAAAGCGUGGGGAGCAAACAGG